UACGGAGGGUGCGAGCGUUGUCCGGAAUCACUGGGCGUAAAGGGCGCGUAGGCGGCGCGGGCAGUCAACGGUGAAAGCUCGGGGCUCAACCCCGAGUCGGCCGUCGAUACUCCCGUGCUUGAGCACUGUAGAGGCAGGUGGAAUUCCGGGUGUAGCGGUGGAAUGCGUAGAGAUCCGGAAGAACACCGGUGGCGAAGGCGGCCUGCUGGGCAGUAGCUGACGCUGAGGCGCGACAUCGUGGGGAGCAAACAGG
rnacentral:rRNA from 1 species